AACUUAUGCCCAAGAAAAUGGUCUUUUCUUUUUGGAAACUUCUGCAAAGACAGCAGCCAACGUCAACGAAGUAUUUUAUGAAAUAGCAAAGAGAUUACCACGGCUGCAGCAGACACCAAACCCAUCGGGCAUGGUCCUCGUGGAUCGACCAGCGGAAAGGGCAAACAGUGCUUCCUGUUGUUCUUGAAAAUUCGACCGUAUCAAGCUCGUGUUAUGUCCAUACCAGUGAGAUCUUACUCUUGUGUACCCUCCAUAUUUGUACAUAUGAUUUCAGCUUUAUAUAUGCAUUUCCCAUUUAGUUGAAGAACCACAGCUCAAUAUGUCACAUGAAAUCUCUGGUCCAUUUACACAAUCACAAAAUUAGAAUGUUGUGAAAAUAAAACAAAAUUGAGCGUUUGGAAGUAGUGUGUUUUAUUAAGUUUUGUAAGUUGGUUUUAUGAAUGGUAUGGCUUAUAAUUUAGCCCAGUCUUAUUGA